rnacentral:rRNA from 1 species
CGUAGGGACCAAGCGUUGUUCGGAUUUACUGGGCGUAAAGGGCGCGUAGGCGGCGUGUUAAGUCAGCUGUGAAAUCUCCAAGCUUAACUUGGAACGGUCAGCUGAUACUGAUGUGCUAGAGUGCAGAAGGGGCAACCGGAAUUCUUGGUGUAGCGGUGAAAUGCGUAGAUAUCAAGAGGAACACCUGAGGUGAAGACGGGUUGCUGGGCUGACACUGACGCUGAGGCGCGAAAGCUAGGGGAGCAAACGGGAUUAGAUACCCCGGUAGUCCUAGCCCUAAACGAUGAAUACUUGGUGUCUGGAGUUUUUAUUCUCCGGGCGCCGUCGCUAACGUUUUAAGUAUUCCGCCUGGGGAGUACGCACGCAAGUGUG